rnacentral:rRNA from 1 species
GCUUACGGCCAUUACCAGCCUGGCUAUGCCCGAUCUCGUCUGAUCUCGGAAGCUAAGGUUUGAGCCUGGUUAGUACUUGGAUGGAGACCGCCUGGGAAUACCAGGUGCUGUAAGCA